CCUACGGGCGGCAGCAGUGAGGAAUAUUGGUCAAUGGACGAAAGUCUGAACCAGCCAUGCCGCGUGCAGGAAGACGGCUCUAUGAGUUGUAAACUGCUUUUGUACAAGGGUAAACCUGAAUACGUGUAUUCAGCUGAAAGUACUGUACGAAUAAGGAACGGCUAACUCCGUGCCAGCAGCCGCGGUAAUACGGAGGAUCCAAGCGUUAUCCGGAUUUAUUGGGUUUAAAGGGUGCGUAGGCGGAUUGAUAAGUUAGAGGUGAAAUGUCCGGGCUCAACUCGGGAACUGCCUCUAAUACUGUUGAUCUAGAGAGUAGAUGCGGUAGGCGGAAUGUAUGGUGUAGCGGUGAAAUGCUUAGAGAUCAUACAGAACACCGAUUGCGAAGGCAGCCUGCCGGGGUGCGACUGACGCUGAGGCUCGAAGGUGCGGGUAUCAAACAGGAUUAGAUACCCGUGUAGUC
rnacentral:rRNA from 1 species